UACCGCAUAACGUCGCAAGACCAAAGAGGGGGACCUUCGGGCCUCUUGCCAUCGGAUGUGCCCAGAUGGGAUUAGCUAGUAGGUGGGGUAACGGCUCACCUAGGCGACGAUCCCUAGCUGGUCUGAGAGGAUGACCAGCCACACUGGAACUGAGACACGGUCCAGACUCCUACGGGAGGCAGCAGUGGGGAAUAUUGCACAAUGGGCGCAAGCCUGAUGCAGCCAUGCCGCGUGUAUGAAGAAGGCCUUCGGGUUGUAAAGUACUUUCAGCGGGGAGGAAGGGAGUAAAGUUAAUACCUUUGCUCAUUGACGUUACCCGCAGAAGAAGCACCGGCUAACUCCGUGCCAGCAGCCGCGGUAAUACGGAGGGUGCAAGCGUUAAUCGGAAUUACUGGGCGUAAAGCGCACGCAGGCGGUUUGUUAAGUCAGAUGUGAAAUCCCCGGGCUCAACCUGGGAACUGCAUCUGAUACUGGCAAGCUUGAGUCUCGUAGAGGGGGGUAGAAUUCCAGGUGUAGCGGUGAAAU
rnacentral:rRNA from 1 species